GAGAGAGAAACCAUCCUUCAACCUGUGGCCAAGUGAGUAUUUCAGUACAUUCGUAGGUCUCUUAACUGGGAUGGCUCAAUGGAAACUGAACAAUGAUGAAUGAUCCAGAUUCAUUAGAGAGCGGGAGAGAAGAAAGGAAGCCUGUAUUCCAAACAGCUUGUCUGUUAGUAGCUUGUCGGAAGCAUCCCGUAUGAAACAGACGAAAGCACUGAACGUUCCUCACUUCUAUAUUCAAAUCACACUCUAUGGAACGUUAGGCAGGAGAAAUCCAAACAGCUCUUUCCAUACCAGGGAAGGGCAGGUCACCACCGAGUUCUAGGUGAAACCUCCCUUCUCCCGAGGUCAAGGUAAGCAACCUUUCUUUCUUUUUUUUCCUUUCCUUUCCUUUCCUUUCCUUUCCUUUCCUUUCCUUUCCUUUCCUUCCUUUCCUUUCCUUUCCUUCCUUUCCUUUCCUCCCUCCCUUCCUUUCUCUUUCUUCCUUCCUUUCCCUUUCUUUCUCUCUUUCUUUCUUUCUUUCCUUCCUUCCUUCCCUCCUUCCUUCUUUUUUCUCUUCCUUCUUUUCCAGAUUAAAGAAUUUUCCUAGCUAGGCCCUUGAAUAAACCUGCAAAGAUACAAAGCACUCCAUUCCUGUGGGAGGCUUUUAAUGAU